rnacentral:rRNA from 1 species
GACGAACGCUGGCGGCGUGCCUAACACAUGCAAGUCGAGCGGGGAUUUAAGUGGAAGUUCUUCGGAAUGGAGAUUUAAAUUCUAGCGGCGGACGGGUGAGUAACGCGUGAACAAUCUGUCCCGGACAGGGGGAUAACACUUGGAAACAGGUGCUAAUACCGCAUAAGACCACGGCCUCGCAUGGGGCUGAGGUAAAAGGAGCAAUCCGGUUCGGGGUGAGUUCGCGUCCGAUUAGCUAGUUGGUGAGGUAACGGCCCACCAAGGCGACGAUCGGUAGCCGGCCUGAGAGGGUGAACGGCCACAUUGGAACUGAGAGGCGGUCCAAACUCCUACGGGAGGCAGCAGUGGGGAAUAUUGGGCAAUGGGCGAAAGCCUGACCCAGCAACGCCGCGUGAGGGAAGAAGGUUUUCGGAUUGUAAACCUCUGUCCUAUGGGACGAAGGAAGUGACGGUACCAUAGGAGGAAGCCCCGGCUAACUACGUG